GCUCAGAAUGAACGCUGGCGGCGUGCUUAACACAUGCAAGUCGAACGGGACUGUGGGGGCAACUCUGCAGUCUAGUGGCGGACGGGUGAGUAACACGUGGGUAACCUGCCCGGAAGUGGGGAAUACCUCGGGGAAACUCGAGCUAAUACCGCAUGACAUCUUCGGGACGAAAGUCCUGACGAUCAAAGCGGGGUCGCAAGAUCUCGCGCUACCGGAUGGGCCCGCGCCCGAUUAGCUAGUUGGUGGGGUAACGGCUCACCAAGGCGACGAUCGGUAACCGGCCUGAGAGGGCGAUCGGUCACACCGGAACUGAGACACGGUCCGGACUCCUACGGGAGGCAGCAGUGGGGAAUCUUGCGCAAUGGGCGAAAGCCUGACGCAGCAACGCCGCGUGGAGGAUGAAGGCCCUUGGGUUGUAAACUCCUGUCGGCUGGGAAGAAAUCGUUCGGGGCUAGUACCUCCGGACGUUGACUGUACCAGCAAAGGAAGCCCCGGCUAACUCUGUGCCAGCAGCCGCGGUAAUACAGAGGGGGCCAGCGUUAUUCGGAAUUAUUGGGCGUAAAGGGCGCGUAGGCGGCCAUGCGUGUCUCCCGUGAAAUCCCUCGGCUUAACUGAGGACGUGCGGGAGAAACUGCAAGGCUCGAGUCCGGGAGAGGGGGGUGGAAUUCCCAGUGUAGCGGUGAAAUGCGUAGAUAUUGGGAGGAACACCGGUGGCGAAGGCGGCCCCCUGGACCGGUACUGACGCUGAGGCGCGAAAGCGUGGGUAGCAAACGGGAUUAGAUACCCCGGUAGUCCACGCCGUAAACGAUGGGCACUUGGUGUCGCGGGUAUCGACCCCUGCGGUGCCGAAGCUAACGCAUUAAGUGCCCCGCCUGGGGAGUACGGUCGCAAGGCUG
rnacentral:rRNA from 1 species